rnacentral:rRNA from 1 species
UACGUAGGGCGCAAGCGUUAUCCGGAAUUAUUGGGCGUAAAGAGCUCGUAGGCGGUUUGUCGCGUCUGCCGUGAAAGUCCGGGGCUCAACUCCGGAUCUGCGGUGGGUACGGGCAGACUAGAGUGCAGUAGGGGGAGACUGGAAUUCCUGGUGUAGCGGUGAAAUGCGCAGAUAUCAGGAGGAACACCGAUGGCGAAAGCGGCUCUCUGGAACGGUACUGACGCUGAGACGCGAAAGCGUGGGGAGCGAACAGG